rnacentral:lncRNA from 1 species
AUAACUCCUGCUGUGUGGAGCUACAGUAAAUAUGCUUCCCCAUUCUAUAUUCUGGAGAAUGGUGCUGCAGUAGGAAUGGUGCUGCAGUAGGAAAGGUGUUACAGUAGGAAAGGUGUUGCAGUAGGAAAGGUGCUGCAGUAGGAAUGGUGCUGCAGUAGGAAUGGUGCUGCAGUAGGAAAGGUGUUGCAGUAGGAAUGGUGCUGCAGUAGGAAAGGUGUUGCAGUAGGAAAGGUGCUGCAGUAGGAAUGGUGCUGCAGUAGGAAAGGUGUUGCAGUAGGAAUGGUGCUGCAGUAGGAAAGGUGUUGCAGUAGGAAAGGUGCUGCAGUAGGAAUGGUGAUGCAGUAAGAAUGGUGUUGCAGUAGGAAAGGUGUUGCAGUAGGAAAGGUGCUGCAGUAGGAAAGGUGCUGCAGUAGGAAUGGUGCUGAAGUAGGAAUGGUGCUGCAGUAGGAAUGGUGCUGCAGUAGGAAUGGUGCUGCAGUAGGAAAGGUGCUGCAGUAGGAAUGGUGCUGCAGUAGGAAAGGUGCUGCAGUAGGAAUGGUGCUGCAGUAGGAAUGGUGUUGCAGUAGGAAAGGUGCUGCAGUAGGAAAGGUGCUGCAGUAGGAAUGGUGCUGCAGUAGGAAAGGUGCUGCAGUAGGAAUGGUGUUGCAGUAGU